rnacentral:rRNA from 1 species
AUGCCCCUUGUCUACUUUGGCGGCGGGUUCCUCCUGGCCGCGAUGAUGCCCGAGGCUGGCCGCUACACCCACAAGAAGGAUGACGGCAUCUACAACAGCAAAUGCUGCUGCAAAGAUAUUAGUGUGGUGGUCAUUGUGUGCAUGCAAUUAACCAGGACAACGAGUGCGGCGAUGAGUCCGACCAGGGCGUGCUGGCAGAGGAGGCCCAGGAGCUCGCCGCCCCUGAUGGCGAGGGCGUGCCCGACUUGGAUGGUGGCCGCCAAGGACAACGCCAGUGAGGACGUCGUCCCGGAGUUCAUUGAUGGCCUCAUCCCAUUUGACAAGCUAAAUGUUGUUCAUGUGGAGGGUGGCUUUGUGAAGGAUGGGGAGGUGGGAGAAGAACUCUGA